GGCAUGGUGGUGCAGGAGUUCGCACUACUGCCUCACAAUAAGGAGGUUCUGGGUUCGAGCCCUGGCCGGCCA